AAGACUCCGGGGAGCCCGUGAGCGUUCCUGACGGCGGCGGGCGCGGGUUUCCGACGUCCGGUCCGGGAUUUGGAGCAGAGCUGGAGAAAGCAAACAGACCCUAGGGCAAGAAUGGUUUUGAAUCCAAAGAAAAGUUCAGCAAAACCUUGAGGCCUCCUUAGUCCGUCCCAACUCAAGGGCAGAAAAGAUGGCGCAUAGAAGUCAAGAUCUGGUUCCAAAACAAGCGAUCCAAGUUCAAGAAGCUGAUGAAGCAGGGUGGGGCGGCUCUGGAGGGUAGUGCGUUGGCCAACGGUCGGGCCCUGUCUGCUGGCUCCCCACCCGUGCCGCCCGGCUGGAACCCUAACUCUUCAUCCGGGAAGGGCUCAGGCGGAAACGCGGGCUCCUAUAUCCCCAGCUACACAUCGUGGUACCCUUCAGCGCACCAAGAAGCUAUGCAGCAACCCCAACUUAUGUGAGGUUGCCCGCCCGUCUCCUUCUUGUCUCCCCGGCCCAGGUCCCUCUCGCCUCCAGGUCCAUCCAUCCCGUCCGGAAAAGAAGGACCCAGAGGGAAGAAGGAACAGUGGAGGCGGGA
rnacentral:sRNA from 1 species